rnacentral:rRNA from 1 species
GUGGGGAAUAUUGCACAAUGGGGGAAACCCUGAUGCAGCGACGCCGCGUGAGUGAAGAAGUAUUUCGGUACGUAAAGCUCUAUCAGCAAGGAAGAAAAUGACGGUACUUGACUAAGAAGCCCCGGCUAACUACGUGCCAGCAGCCGCGGUAAUACGUAGGGGGCAAGCGUUAUCCGGAUUUACUGGGUGUAAAGGGAGCGUAGACGGUAUGGUAAGUCAGAUGUGAAAGCCCGGGGCUCAACCCCGGGACUGCAUUUGAAACUAUCAGACUAGAGUGCAGGAGAGGUAAGUGGAAUUCCUAGUGUAGCGGUGAAAUGCGUAGAUAUUAGGAGGAACACCAGUGGCGAAGGCGGCUUACUGGACUGUAACUGACGUUGAGGCUCGAAAGCGUGGGGAGCAAACAGGAUUAGAAACCCUUGUAGUCC